rnacentral:rRNA from 1 species
UGGGGAAUAUUGGACAAUGGGCGCAAGCCUGAUCCAGCCAUGCCGCGUGAGUGAUGAAGGCCUUAGGGUCGUAAAGCUCUUUUGUCCGGGAAGAUAAUGACUGUACCGGAAGAAUAAGCCCCGGCUAACUUCGUGCCAGCAGCCGCGGUAAUACGAAGGGGGCUAGCGUUGCUCGGAAUCACUGGGCGUAAAGCGCACGUAGGCGGACUCUUAAGUCGGUGGUGAAAUCCUGGAGCUCAACUCCAGAACUGCCUUCGAUACUGGGAGUCUUGAGUUCUAGAGAGGUGAGUGGAACUGCGAGUGUAGAGGUGAAAUUCGUAGAUAUAUGGAAGAACACCUGUGGCGAAAGCGGUUUUCUAGCCUCCUCCCGACGCUGAGGCACGAAAGCAAGGGGAGCAAACA